rnacentral:rRNA from 1 species
AAAUUGAAGAGUUUGAUCAUGGCUCAGAUUGAACGCUGGCGGCAGGCCUAACACAUGCAAGUCGAACGGUAACAGAAAGAAGCUUGCUUCUUUGCUGACGAGUGGCGGACGGGUGAGUAAUGUCUGGGAAACUGCCUGAUGGAGGGGGAUAACUACUGGAAACGGUAGCUAAUACCGCAUAACGUCGCAAGACCAAAGAGGGGGACCUUCGGGCCUCUUGCCAUCGGAUGUGCCCAGAUGGGAUUAGCUAGUAGGUGGGGUAACGGCUCACCUAGGCGACGAUCCCUAGCUGGUCUGAGAGGAUGACCAGCCACACUGGAACUGAGACACGGUCCAGACUCCUACGGGAGGCAGCAGUGGGGAAUAUUGCACAAUGGGCGCAAGCCUGAUGCAGCCAUGCCGCGUGUAUGAAGAAGGCCUUCGGGUUGUAAAGUACUUUCAGCGGGGAGGAAGGGAGUAAAGU